UAAUGUCUCUCUCAUCCAGACGGGUUCCUGAGUACUGUACAGGUUGUGCUAAGGAACCAUCGCAAGUUAAAACAAUCCACUGUACCCAUCAGGACUCAAUAGCUCCUGCGUAGACCCAGAAGCCCCUCAAUCCUCCCUGUAUCUGGAUCAACUUCUGCCAGGUGCUUCUCCCAGGGACCUGCCACAGCACUUGCCUGCCAUCCCCAGGAUUAACUAUUUCAGCCAACCUCAGAGUGCGGAGUGAGGAGGAUGCAGAGGCCCUGGCCAUUUAGAGACUGGAACGAAUACAUGAAGAUAUGGAAAUCUAGCAGUUGGCUCCACAUAAUGGGACCCUUUCAUGCUUUCUCCAGAGGCUUCUAUUCAUGCAUCAUGAUGCCAAGUUCUGGCAAAUAAGCCAAGUUGGAUUAAGUUACAGCCAAGUAUGUUGACUUUACCCAUUCAAUUUAUUCUUGGCAACCUUCAGAGAGUAUUUAUAAUAAAGUCCCAUUUCGAACAUUCGAGGGCCCCGGCGGAGUUCUAAUAACACUGGGUAUUUAUUUAAUGUCUAACUGUAAGAGUUCAAAGCACUUUAUAGGCAUUCCUUGACUGAUCUUAACAUCCCUGCAAGAUUUUACAGCUUGGACAAGUCAAUCGAGGCCCUGAGACCUGCCUGGGAUCACCCAGGAAGACCAUGCUACUCCCUAAAUUAAUCACGCUGCCAACAUGCGGAGGCUCCUGUACCUUAGCCGGCGACUGCAUUCUCCAGCCCUUAUCUCAGCGUCGCCGAGUGGAGACUAUUUGUUUAUUUCUCCAUGGAGAUCUUUAAUUAAGGAAAGCAGAAAGCACCACAAACACUUCUGUCUGCGUGUCACUGCAGUAAUUGGGCAAAGUAUCUUUUAAAUAUUUUGAUUCUUUAGUGAUGAAGUUAACAAUUCUGGUUGUUAGAGGGGAGAAGGCUCGGGAGUGUGUCCCAUUUGGAUGAUGCUACGAGACACAUCUUUCUGUGGCUUCCAGAGUGGAUGUCAGCUGACACUGGUGGUGGCCUGUGGGGCUGUAGGCAAUGGCAUCAUCAAAGGAAGACAUGACCAUGGCUCCUUCAACUGCUUCUGGGACACUGAUCUGACCAUCGCUGUCAUGUCACUGUCUGCAUGGACUCUGACUAUAGGACACUGAUUUAACAUUUAAUGGGCACCGCUGACGUUUGGUGAGUGGCACUUCAGUUGUACUCUCCGAGGCUCUGGUGACAGCGAGGAGGCCCUGUUGGCUUGAGGAUAUGAAAAGGAGGAGACAGGCUCAGCAGGCACAGACUUCCACCUGCUCACUCACAAGAUUUCCCGUCUCUGUUAUGGAGAGAAGUGCCCCUUUAUGCCUCUGACUGUGUCCUGGAGUACGAUGGAAGGCCAUUUACAAGACUUCGGAUGAUCAUAGAGUCAGUGUCGACCCCAACUGCCCCACGGAGCUUUUGGGGGAGCCCAUAAAAGAAAAGGCACUUGCCCCUACCACCUGUUUAUUUUAUAGCCCAUAUAUGGUCUGAAAAUCCUCCUAAGACUCUUUGUAGGGGUCAAGGGUUAAGUCUCCCUGCCAUUGCCCAUGCCCCCCCCCCGUCUCCAUUCCUGGGGAGUUGAAUGUUAAGCACAGAGGAGUGGAGUCAGCACUAUGCAGGGUUGAGCAGCACCCAGGGUAUCAACAGACCCUGGAGCUAGACUGCGUUUGACUGUGGGGUCUAUGUGGCUGUGUGGGUGGGGUGAGUCUCCCAAUUAUAUGUCUUAGUUUCCUCAUCUGUAACAUAGGAUUAAGGCUAGCAGUAGCUGAUUAAUGAAGCAGAUGGACCAAUGUCCACUGAACUCUAAAGACUGGUCCUAGCACAUGAUUUGUGUUUACAGAUUAUUAUUAUGACACCCGAGUCUCCUUUUUUAGAAACAAGUAGGAAGAUUACCAGUAAGAUACCAGUGUCUGUAGGCAGGCAGAUAUUAAUAGCCCCGAGGACAGAGACAGAGCACAGGACGCUGGGUCAUUGGGAAUGUCAGCAAGGUGCUGUGCAGGGACAAUCUGACACCACAAUCAUCCUCGGGGAUGACUGGGGGUGGCAGGUAUCAGAGGGAAGUGUUUUGGGGAACUUUUUGACACCCACGCCUGGGAAGGCUGCCCUCCAGAUAAUUGUGGACCAUGCUGGUGGAGAUGUUCCCUCUCCUGGCACGGCAGACUGCCUGGGACAGGACAGACUGUUUGCCAGGGGAAGGGCUUAGAAGUCCUGAAGAUGUGGCUCUUGAUUGAGGGACCCUUGUAACAUCUUCAGAGUCUGGUGUCCCAGAACUUUGGGCCGACAUCUCUCUCAGUGGGGAGAGUGCCUUCCUAACAUGGCAGUGGUGCUUAGAGGUCCCAGCUUGAGCCCUACUGAGUGCUGGGGUGUGUCAUGGCCCUACAGUCCACUUGAUGAGCAUGCAUGGCACUCGUGAGAAGCUUUACACAUUUAAGAAGUCAGCAGAGACCAAGCGAUGGGCUGAGAGCCCGUGUACACUUUGCAAGCCAGACAGUCUGGAUCCAUAUGUACCUCUACAGCUGAAAGUGAGGAUGAUCCCGGGAAGGUGGCCUCCGAUGUUUCUAGCCAGCUAGAAUCCCAUACACAUUCAAAACCAGCUCACUUUCCCAGAAUGGAUGCCGCAGCAGAAGCGGGUGAAUUUGCAUCACAACCCUCACCUUGCACACUAGUGUGUGUGUGGGAACUGCAGGGCCAGGAAGGACAUGGGGACAGCCUUUUAUUUUCUGCUUUCCAGACUCUGCACAGUGGAGAGUGACCUAUGAGGCACAGGAGGACAACAUCAGCAAAAACGACAGGCUUGUAACAAACCAAACAGAGAGAUGCAGCCUGGAGAGUUUAACAUGCAGUCAGGAAAAGUGAAAGGCAGGCCGGAGUGAGACUUUACUGGUCUUGCAGAGGGCCUGAGUUCAUUUCCAAGCACCUAAGUCAAGCACUUCACGACUGCCUGUAUCUCCAGCUCUAGGGAUUCCAGCACCCUCUUCUGGACUCUGAGGGCACAUGAGCUCACAUGCUUGCACACACACAGAGUUAAAAGUAAGCAAGUACCGGUUAAUUUCAGAAAAUAAAGUCAAACGAAUUUUAGGUCGUUUAGGAUGGAGUGAAAAAUAUUGGGAAAGCAUAGCGCUUAUGGUUGAGAGGUAGUGGCGUCCUCUUUGCUCCUGUGGAAGAAUAUCUUCCAGGUGGCAGGAUAGAGUCGUGGUCUGCCUUGAUUUUCAAGUCCAAACCCAAUAGCAGUUGCCAGACUCUCUGGGUUGACAUUAAUGUAAAGAGACAUGCCAGAAAUAAAUAGUGGUGGGGGAUAAUUCCUCAGCUUUUAAGAGAUAAAAAAAUCAGUAAGGAGAAUUCUGAAUAAUUAAAUUACAGCCAAGAGUCCACUCAGUCUACAAAGGAGGGUCCAACAUAUAACUUUGCCUGGAACAUUUGCAAAACCUGACUGUGUGCUGAGCUACUUAAAAAUCUCAAUAAAUUCCUAAGAGCAAA